AUUUUUAAUAGGCUGCAGAAUCUGGUAUUAUUAAAGUACAGAAUGCUGCAACAAAGCAUGAUGACAUACGCUUGGCAUUCCUUUCUGAAAGUCCAGAAAUUUUGGAGCCCUUUUUCAUUGGAUGUGAUACAAAAAAUACAAAGAUUGUUCAGAUGUGUUUAACUGCGAUGCAGCGGUUAAUAACUCAAGAAGCUGUAUCAUCAAUGGCUGCUAAUAAUAUCAUUACUUGUUUGUGGUCUUUAAUGGAAAGUGGUACAGAGGAAUUAAAGUUACUUCAAACUGUAACUCUUUUAGUUACUACAAAUAAUAUUGUUCAAGGAGAGGCUCUUUCAAAGG